rnacentral:rRNA from 1 species
AUGGACGUGGACGCGGCGCCGGCGCUGAAGAGGAAGGACGCGCCGGAGGUUUGGGUGGACGAUGACGUCGGCCCUGGGUUCCCCGUCGCCUCCCGCGCCACCAAGAUCCGCCGCCUGAACGCGGAUGUGCUGCCUGUCGUGCCCGGCGCGGUCGUGCCCCCGCCGCAGACGCUCCCACAGACGCAGCCGGUGGCGGGCUUCGGGGUGGUGGAGGAGGCGCCGAUGUGCGGCGACGUGCCGGUGGACGUGGCGCCGCCGGAGGUGGCGGCCAACGAGGAGAGGGCGAUCGUCUUGUACCGGCCCGCGGACGCCGAGCGCAGGCUUCUGCUGGGCCCGCUCCGGCCCGGCGGCCAUCUCCGCGUCAGCCCCGAGUGGAUCCAAGCGCUCAACGGCACGACGCUGCAAGAGGCGAGCAACCGCCGCGCGCUGUUCGAGGGGCUCGCCGGAACGGAGACCUCGAACAUGGCGAUGGUCCCCUGGGCGCCGCCCCGCGCGCAGGCGGCGUCCACGGCGGCGGAGAUGAUGGAGGCCGAGGACGGCGAGGGCGCGUCCAUGGAGGUCGAGCAGGACAGGGUCGACCAGCAGCUUUCCAUGCCCCAGUGGCCGCCGCAGCAGCAGCAGCAGCACUACAACUACAUGGUGCAGCAGCAGCCGAUCCCGGUGGCGUGGUCAUGGUGA